rnacentral:rRNA from 1 species
UACGGAGGAUGCAAGCGUUAUCUGGAUUCAUUGGGUUUAAAGGGUGCGUAGGCGGGCUAUUAAGUCAGUGGUGAAAUCCUGCAGCUUAACUGCAGAACUGCCGUUGAUACUGAUAGUCUUGAGUUUGGUUAAGGUAGGCGGAAUGUGUAAUGUAGCGGUGAAAUGCUUAGAUAUUACACAGAACACCAAUUGCGUAGGCAGCUUACUGAGCCGACACUGACGCUGAGGCACGAAAGCGUGGGGAUCAAACA